AUGGCCCAAGAAUUCUGUGGCCGCUCGGGUGAAGGCCCCCAGUUUUCUCUUCUCGUUAGCUCUUCUAUAGAGAUGGCCAUGGCCGCCCGAUGCCCAAGCACCGCCGGCGUCCAGACCUCAUCCACGCUAUCCCCAUCUCGCCGGAGACCUGCACCAAGUCCCAUCCAGCGUCCGCACCACCACCUUCGGCCCCUGCCCCGCAGCUCUGCAGCCCGAGCGCUUCAGCCACCUCCCAAAGCAGAGGAGAGGAGCUCCCUGCCACGAGCCUUUCCAGUGCCGGCAAACCAGCAGGCCGACCCGCCCCCUACUCCGCCAAGCUUCACCACCGCUGGGAUGCCCCCUCCUCCCCUUCCCCGCUUGGAUCUGGCAGGCGCCGGGGCGGUGGCGUCGUCCCCGGGAUGUCGCGCAAACAUGAAACGUUUUUCCAGAGUGCCACUUAAACAGGGACUGCGGGCUUAUUUCAAAGAAAUAGAGGGGCUUUUGCGCAAAAACGCCAACGACGUACGACCAGAAGCAUUAGCUGACCAUGACCUCCUCCCCGGCCUCGCCCGUGUCGCUGUCAUCAACAAUCUCGACGGCGCGCUCCACCGGCACCUUCGACGUGCCCCCCUUCUUCUCCUCCUCGGUCCAGCAUGA
rnacentral:rRNA from 1 species